AGCGGCGGACGGGUGACCUAAUGCUUGGGAACUUGCCUUUCGGAGGGGGAUAACCAUUGGAAACGAUGGCUAUUACCGCAUAACGUCUACGGACCAAAGUGGGGGAUCUUCGGACCCCACACCCAGAGAUAGGCCCCAGCGAGAUUAGCUAGUUGGUGGGGUAAAGGCUCACCAAGGCGACGAUCUCUAGCUGUUCUGAGAGGAUGAUCAGCCCCCCUGGGACUGAGACACGGCCCACACUCCUACGGGAGGCAGCAGUGGGGAAUAUUGCCCAAUGGGGGAAACCCUGAUGCACCCAUGCCCGCGUGUGGGAAAAAGGCCUUCCCGUUUGUAAAAGCACUUUUCUUUGGGGAGGAAGGCUCUCGCGCUUAUAGCCCCGAAAAUUGGACGUUGCCCCCAGAAAAAAACACCCGGCUAACUCCCGUGCCCCGCCACCCGCGGUAAUACCGAAGGGGGGGGAGGGGCUAACCGACAAUAUCCUGGCGCGUAAAA
rnacentral:rRNA from 1 species